rnacentral:ncRNA from 1 species
GAGAAGGCUGGCGAUGGAGUUCGCCAAUUGUCCGUGAGGACUGAUGACUCCUAUCCGAUU